CCCAUUUGCCCCUCUCCCUUUCGCACGAGCCGCCGCCCGUGCGUUGCCGUCGUCGCGUCUUCGUCGUCACCACGGUCUCCGACUGCCCCGCGCUGCACCACCACCUGCAGGAGCUCCGUCAUGUUCGUCUACGUCAUCUACGGCCAUCCGUUCAAGCUGGGCACCUCUACAUCACCGGGAUCGACUGCUUCGUCCCCGCGGCCGUCGGUGCCUCUCCGGCGAAUUUCGGCGCUCUCUGCUGCUCCCGGCAACCAACGAGCCUCCGUGAGCUCCCUUGACUACGAGACGGACGUCGCUGCUGCCUCGAUCGACUACGGUGUUGGCGACCCCUCCUUCUUGCGAGAGCAACCAGAUGUUGGAGCCCAGGAGCCAGACGCCACCGCCACCGACGACCCCUACUACACCGAGGGUGCCUACUACUACGUGCAGGCCGCUGACGACGACCAGGAGUAGUUUAGGAGGAUCCCAGGCAAGAGGCCUGCGCCUCUUUCGAUCUGUAUCCCAGUUUGUGCUAGCCAUUUUAUGGCAACUUAUUUAACUUAUGUCUGUACUCAGAUAUUGUUGCUUCCGCUAACUUGUUUAUGUCGAGCACUUGUAUUCGAGCCCUCGAGGCCCCUGGCUUGUAAUAUGAUGCUUAUAUGACUUAUUUUACUUUUAGAGUUGU
rnacentral:rRNA from 1 species